rnacentral:rRNA from 1 species
AUGGCAUUAAUCACCCAAUGGAAGUUUGUAUUGAUAAGAUGUUCAGAUCCCCCACUCAUCCACCAGCUCCAGGUGGUAGUUCACAAAAGCCAGCUCCAAAUCAUCCUUAGAGACAGCCAACCAGUUUUAACCAGAAGAUCCCCAAGAUGUGAUCAAGGCACAUAUGAUAUACUUCCCCAUAAUCCUUGCUACACCAAGGACGGGAAGGAACACAAGACUCACCCAGAUCAGCCCGAGUCUUUGGAGGGGAGGACAGAUAUCGACACUCACGACAGUGCCGCCGCCGGAGGAAAGCGAAACCCUAAUGUUUUACGCUAG